rnacentral:rRNA from 1 species
CCUAGCGAUAUGUAAGUUAGUGGCGGACGGGUGAGUAACGCGUGAGCAACCUGCCUAUCAGAGGGGGAUAACUGAGGGAAACCUUAGCUAAUACCGCAUAAAGUACAGAAUUCGCAUGGAAAUUGUAUGAAAGGAGAAAUCCGCUGAUAGAUGGGCUCGCGUCCGAUUAGCCAGUUGGUGAGGUAACGGCUCACCAAAGCGACGAUCGGUAGCCGGGCUGAGAGGCUGAACGGCCACAUUGGGACUGAGACACGGCCCAGACUCC